GUCACCCUAGCAGCGGAUCCACAUCUCGGGUUGGCUGCCUUUAGUGUGGCUUGGAAUGCGGUAUUCGGUUCAGCCACUCCUGAUGCUGAGCCUAGUCUCGUAUACCGAACACUACAGGAACUGGUUGUGUUCUAGAGAUCUUCCUGCCCCCCACUUCUCAAGUGCUGGGAUUAUAGGUUUGUGCCACCCGUCCCGCUUUAGCUCACUACAGUUCUUUAAGAUAAUGUCUUAAUCCCCGUCUCAGAAAUGAAUCAGAAAUUCAGAAAGGCUGAUCAAUCUUGUUAUCUGACUCCCCACUUCAUCGCUGGAAGAAGGAAUUGGGAGUUGAGAGAGAAGGCUCAGUCCUCAACUAAAGAAAACUUAUCUCUCUUUCCUUGGUGUGGAUGGCCUUCUUAGAGUGGUGAUGGGAAAUUUUAGAUUCCGAGCCUCUUAGACUGAAGCGGCUCUGGUCUUCAAUCUCCCUGUUACCUAGAGAGAAAAUUGUGUCUAGAGAUUAUGUCAAUGCUAGCGAGGCAGAGCAAAGAUGGAGUUACUAAGUACUUAAGCUCUACUAUGAGAUGUUCUUCCAUUAGGAAAAGCAAAACCAAAAACCUGGGAUUCUUUAAACAACAACAACAAAACAAAACAAAAAAACAAAACCACAAAGCAUUCAAUGGCCCCAGUUUCCAGAAUGAAUACAUUAUAUUUCAUAAUUUGGUAUUUUUAGGUUAAAGAACUUGGACUUCAGAAGAGCCAAAAUCUCCUGUUCUCAUCCCCUUUGGUUAUCUCGCUUCCCACAGACCACCAGGGUCACUAGGAAAUGGAGCUCGCUAAUUUAGGGUCGCUGUGACAUGGGAGAGACAUAGUCCAUGGGAGCUCAUAAUCUAACGAGAGACGGGUUUAUGGCAAACAAUUACAGUGUGGGUGCGGUCACAGAGAUGAGAAUAAAGUGCUUUGAUCACAUGAAGAAGUCAGUGCAGGGGAACGGAGGAUGACGGCACAGAAGGCAAAGCUAACCAAUCAACACGUAUCAACAGACACAUCUGUCUGUGCUGCUCUCAGAGGUGGUCAGAGAACCACCUUCUGGAGGUGCAUUCAUAGCUAAUCAAAGGGCUAAGAAGAAGUAAUCGGGUGUGCUCAGUCAUUCAUGGACCAUCCGGGUCAACCUUCACCUGCUCUGAGGCUCAGGGAGCAUCAAACAAGUGAGGAGAUAAAAACGAAGCAAGAGGCUGGGUAGGCAGCAUUGCACCCAUGAACUUGGAGCUGUGGAACCUGUAUACAGUCAGACCAGCCAGAAUUCCAGCAUCAAUGGGGGACUGGCUCCUGAGGACCGUGGCCCUAGCUGCAGAGAUACUGGCAAUUGAAGGCUGCCUGAGCAGAGUCUCUCUUCUUUGGACAUUUGAUGCUGGUGAGCUACCCAGAUCCAAGCGAAUGAACCCACAGCCAUGUACACAUGAGCAACACAGUUGGAUUCUGUGAGUUAUUAAAAACAA
rnacentral:sRNA from 1 species